UCCGAAGUCAUAGACAAGUUGGAAAGUG
rnacentral:piRNA from 1 species